rnacentral:rRNA from 1 species
GAUGAACGCUGGCGGCGUGCCUAACACAUGCAAGUCGAGCGAACCCUUCGGGGUGAGCGGCGGACGGGUGAGUAACGCGUGGGUAACCUGCCCUGUACACACGGAUAACAUAUCGAAAGGUAUGCUAAUACGAGAUAAUAUAUUUUAAUCGCAUGGUUAAGAUAUCAAAGCUCCGGCGGUACAGGAUGGACCCGCGUCUGAUUGGCUAGUUGGUGAGGUAAUGGCUCACCAAGGCGACGAUCAGUAGCCGACCUGAGAGGGUGAUCGGCCACACUGGAACUGAGACACGGUCCAGACUCCUACGGGAGGCAGCAGUGGGGAAUAUUGCACAAUGUGUUUAUAUCCUGAUGCAGCAACGCCGCGUGAGCGAUGAAGGCCUUCGGGUCGUAAAGCUCUGUCCUCAAGGAAGAUAAUGACGGUACUUGAGGAGGAAGCCCCGGCUAACUAC